GACGAACGCUGGCGGCGUGCCUAAUACAUGCAAGUAGAACGCUGAAGGCGGAGCUUGCUUCUCUGGAUGAGUCGCGAACGGGUGAGUAACGCGUAGGUAACCUGCCUGGUAGCGGGGGAAAACUAUUGGAAACGAUAGCUAAUACCGCAUAAUAGUGGAUGUGGCGUGACAUUGGCUUGAAAGGUGCAGUUGAGGCACUACCAGACGGCCUUGCGUUGUGUUAGCUGGUUGGUGGGGUAACGGGUCACCAAGGGGACGCUACAUAGCCGACCUGCGAGGGGUAUCGGCCACGCUGGGACUGAGACACGGCCCAGACUCCUACGAGAGGCAGCAGUAGUGCAUCAGCGGCAAUGGACGGAAGUCUGACCGUGCAACGCCGCGUGAGGGAGGAAGGUUUUCGGAUCGUAGAGCUCUGUUGUAAGGGAAGAACGAGUGUGAGAGUGGAAAGUUCACACUGUGACGGUAUCUUAACAGAAAGCGACGGCUAACUACGUG
rnacentral:rRNA from 1 species